CCUCCCGCUGGCGGCGUGCUUCACACAUGCAAGUCGAGCGGAAAGGCCCUUCGGGGUACUCGAGCGGCGAACGGGUGAGUAACACGUGAGUAACCUGCCCCAGACUUUGGGAUAACCCUCGGAAACGGGGGCUAAUACCGGAUACGACACAGCUUCGCAUGGGGUCUGUGUGGAAAGUUUUUCGGUUUGGGAUGGGCUCGCGGCCUAUCAGCUUGUUGGUGGGGUGAUGGCCUACCAAGGCGACGACGGGUAGCCGGCCUGAGAGGGCGACCGGCCACACUGGGACUGAGACACGGCCCAGACUCCUACGGGAGGCAGCAGUGGGGAAUAUUGCACAAUGGGCGGAAGCCUGAUGCAGCGACGCCGCGUGAGGGAUGACGGCCUUCGGGUUGUAAACCUCUUUCAGCAGGGACGAAGCGUAAGUGACGGUACCUGCAGAAGAAGCGCCGGCCAACUACGUG
rnacentral:rRNA from 1 species